UGCAAGUAGCUCGUGAGGAAUAUGAUGAGGAAGCUAUACUGUGUGUUUUCCGGUUGAAGUCCCUGAAGCAAGGGCAAGCCCGAAGUUUUCUAACACAAGCAACUCGCCACCAUGCUGCUCAGUUGAACUUCUUCCGGAAAGGACUCAAGUCACUUGAGGCUGUCAAGCCACAUGUUAGGUUGGUUACAGAGGAGGAAGGUGAUGAGAGUGUUCGCAGGGUUUAGAUGAUGAGGAAGGUGAUGAGAGUGGUCAUGCAACCGGGAGUUAGAAUGAGAACCCCGGUGUCAAUCCCA
rnacentral:lncRNA from 1 species